UCGCGAAUUAGUAUAGGGGUUCUGCAGUUAGUUUUAUAAUUAGCUCAUGUUUAGUCCUUCUAAUUAGCGUCCGAACAUCCAAUGUGACCCUCCUAAAGUUUAGUAACUCGUAUCCAAACACCCCCUCUUUGUUAGCCAAGCCUAGGGAACGACAUUGGAGCUCAGCCAUGAUCAAGAUAACUCCCGGUAUAGCCAUGAGCUCAGCCUUCAACUACGUACAUUUGGCGGCUGGCGACAAGUUUCUCGAGGUAGUGUACGGCACCUGCCAAAGAGGACCUCCGUACCACAAGUCCACCAUAUCAGAGUCGUCAUCACAUAAUUACAUUUGUGUUCCUCUUGCAAAUUUGUAGUAACAUGGAUUAUGUUGCACCACUAUUUCAGUUCAGUGUGCAAAUACUGCGUUCCAUUAUUGAGCGAAUCUAGCACAAGUCAUUCGCCAAUCGCCAUCUUGUCCCAAUGCUUAUGGCACGUGAAUGUCGGUGUGUGUGUGUUUCUGAUUAUGCUCACUGUUGCAUUCCUGUGUGUUACAGCAGGAGCUUGAAUGUUUUGUUUCCCGAAA